rnacentral:tRNA from 1 species
GCAGUGGUGGUUCAGUGGUAGAGUUCUUGCCUUCCAUGCAAGAGACCUGGGUUCAUGUCCCAGCCAAUGCU